UACGGGGGGGGCAAGCGUUGUUCGGAAUUACUGGGCGUAAGGGGCUCGUAGGCGGCCAACUAAGUCGGAUGUGAAAUCCCCAGGCUUAACCUGGGAACUGCAUCCGAUACUGGAUGGCUUGAAUCCGGGAGAGGGAUGCAGAAUUCCAGGUGUAGCGGUGAAAUGCGUAGAUAUCUGGAGGAAUACCGGUGGCGAAGGCGGCAUCCUGGACCGGCAUUGACGCUGAGGGAGCGAAAGCCAGGGGAGCAAACGGG
rnacentral:rRNA from 1 species